UACGAAGGGAGCAAGCGUUAUUCGGAAUUACUGGGCGUAAAGGGCGCGUAGGCGGUUUGUUAAGUCAGCUGUUAAAUUCCAUGGCUUACCCAUGGGUCAGCGGUUGAUACUGGCAGACUAAGAGGGCGAGAGAGAGAGGUGGAAUUCUCGGAGUAGCGGUAAAAUGCGUAGAUCUCGGGAGGAACACCGAUGGCGAAGGCAGCUUCUUGGCUCGUACCUGACGCUGAGGCGCGAAAGCGUGGGGAGCAAACAGG
rnacentral:rRNA from 1 species